ACAGCAGUAGCCACGGUAAUACAGAGGGUGCGAGCGUUAAUCGGAUUUACUGGGCGUAAAGCGUGCGUAGGCGGCUUCUUAAGUCGGAUGUGAAAUCCCUGAGCUUAACUUAGGAAUUGCAUUCGAUACUGGGAAGCUAGAGUAUGGGAGAGGAUGGUAGAAUUCCAGGUGUAGCGGUGAAAUGCGUAGAGAUCUGGAGGAAUACCGAUGGCGAAGGCAGCCAUCUGGCCUAAUACUGACGCUGAGGUACGAAAGCAUGGGGAGCAAACAGGAUUAGAUACCCGAGUAGUCCCUGUCUCUUAUAA
rnacentral:rRNA from 1 species